CAUGCAGUCGACGAUGAACCCAGCUUGCUGGGUGGAUUAGUGGCGAACGGGCUGAGUAACACGUGAGUAACCUGCCCUUGACUCUGGGAUAAGCCUGGGAAACUGGGUCUAAUACUGGAUAUGACUUCUCACCGCAUGGUGGGGGGUGGAAAGAUUUAUUGGUCUUGGAUGGACUCGCGGCCUAUCAGCUUGUUGGUGAGGUAAUGGCUCACCAAGGCGACGACGGGUAGCCGGCCUGAGAGGGUGACCGGCCACACUGGGACUGAGACACGGCCCAGACUCCUACGGGAGGCAGCAGUGGGGAAUAUUGCACAAUGGGCGCAAGCCUGAUGCAGCGACGCCGCGUGAGGGAUGACGGCCUUCGGGUUGUAAACCUCUUUCAGUAGGGAAGAAGCGAAAGUGACGGUACCUGCAGAAGAAGCGCCGGCUAACUACGUGCCAGCAGCCGCGGUAAUACGUAGGGCGCGAGCGUUAUCCGGAAUUAUUGGGCGUAAAGAGCUCGUAGGCGGUUUGUCGCGUCUGCCGUGAAAGUCCGGGGCUUAACCCCGGAUCUGCGGUGGGUACGGGCAGACUAGAGUGCAGUAGGGGAGACUGGAAUUCCUGGUGUAGCGGUGAAAUGCGCAGAUAUCAGGAGGAACACCGAUGGCGAAGGCAGGUCUCUGGGCUGUAACUGACGCUGAGGAGCGAAAGCAUGGGGAGCGAACAGGAUUAGAUACCCUGGUAGUCCAUGCCGUAAACGUUGGGCACUAGGUGUGGGGGACAUUCCACGUUUUCCGCGCCGUAGCUAACGCAUUAAGUGCCCCGCCUGGGGAGUACGGCCGCAAGGCUAAAACUCAAAGGAAUUGACGGGGGCCCGCACAAGCGGCGGAGCAUGCGGAUUAAUUCGAUGCAACGCGAAGAACCUUACCAAGGCUUGACAUGUUCCUGACCGCCGUAGAGAUACGGUUUCCCCUUUGGGGCAGGUUCACAGGUGGUGCAUGGUUGUCGUCAGCUCGUGUCGUGAGAUGUUGGGUUAAGUCCCGCAACGAGCGCAACCCUCGUUCCAUGUUGCCAGCACGUAGUGGUGGGGACUCAUGGGAGACUGCCGGGGUCAACUCGGAGGAAGGUGGGGACGACGUCAAAUCAUCAUGCCCCUUAUGUCUUGGGCUUCACGCAUGCUACAAUGGCCGGUACAAUGGGUUGCGAUACUGUGAGGUGGAGCUAAUCCCAAAAAGCCGGUCUCAGUUCGGAUUGGGGUCUGCAACUCGACCCCAUGAAGUCGGAGUCGCUAGUAAUCGCAGAUCAGCAACGCUGCGGUGAAUACGUUCCCGGGCCUUGUACACACCGCCCGUCAAGUCACGAAAGUUGGUAACACCCGAAGCCGGUGGCCUAACCCUGGGGGGAGCCUCA
rnacentral:rRNA from 1 species